AUGGCAUUACUGUUUCCUUCCUGGAAAGAACAUAUGGGGAGUUAGAUGGAGAUAAGGCCAUGCAAACUUGAGAUCCUCUUUUGAAUGGCUUCUUUUGCAAGCAGACAGAAUGGUGGAGAAUUCCUGUGCUUACAUCUUUCUUUCCAAAAUCCUGUUAGAUGGCCAACUCAGAUGCUUUUGUAAACCUGGACUAGUGCCUUCAUUUAGACUGUCUAGGCUUUAUGGCCCUAAAUGUGCCACCAACUCCUUCAUCAGCUGGUUUUCCGGGCUUCCUUGGGCAGCAGCAGCCGUGGUGUUCCAGGAGGACCCUGUCUCUGUGCCAUUGAUCACACUGCUGACGCAAAAAGGACCUAACCACUGAAUCAGCCUGAAUAUGUAUUAAGAUGACUCAGGCUGAAGAACUAUGAAUGCUGCCUUUGAAAACUGUAAUAUGAUCUUCAUCUGCCAACAUACCACAACAUUAGGAGCUUAACAUCACGCUGAAGGACACGAGAAACAAGGGUUAUAUGGAUUUAAAGAUGUUGAGUUCAUCUAGAUAGAAAAACUCCAUGCAGCUCUACAGGUUGGAGGACAAUGCAGCUUUGGAAAAAAAAAAAAGAGACCUGUGGGUCCUAGUGGACAACAAACUGAACAGGAAUCAGCAGUGUGCUCUUGCAAAAAAAGAAGGUUAAACAAAUACUGGGUUGUAUUGGUGAGAGUGGAAGCAGGUUGAGGAAAGGGAAUCUUCCCCUCUAUUGCUCUAAUCACUGCGAUAACAACUUUAUUUUAUAAAAGUCAGAAAUCAAUAAAAUGCCUUACUGACUGUUAGCAAGGAAGAUCCUUAGAGAAGUCUUACCACCAUACAGAGACAUUCAAAAAUAUCAAGCAACUACUGUCCAACUCCACAUUCACCCAUUACAAUGAAAAGAGGCUGUUGCUGAUUAUGAGCUAUGCACCUUUUUGUGGUUUUGGAGAGAUUCUCAGCUGUUCAUUAAGAGAUGGAAUUGAAGCACCUUUUUCUUUCUCCAGAAGAAUGCUGACACCAACAGAAAAAAGUAUGAAUUGAUUAAGGGCUUGCCACUCCUAAGGAUUUGCUUCAAAGACAGGCCAACAGCUUCAGUCAUAUUGCUGUGCAUGCAGUGAUGGAGCUGCUUGUAAGCAGUAAUUGAGUGUUACACUAAGUGCUUAUGAUCACACAACUUUUUGUGAGCCAGAAAAAUAGAUUGCAAAUGCCAGUGGGUGGAGAUGACAACCAUUGCAUAUGCCAGAUUGUGCUCCUCCACCUGCAGCUGAAUUCUCAGUGCUGGAAUUCCUCCCGUGCCUUUUCAAGCCAACCAUGUCAUGAAAAUGGCUGCCAACGAUUUAUCCAGAGCUUGGAAUGAGUCCUUGGCUGGAUGGGGAGGAAGAGGUUGGCCAACAGAAUAAAUGAAUAGAGUUGAAAUAAUUUUUAACCCAGCAAUUUGAUCUGUCUGCUUACGAAGAAAAACUUUUGCUUUGCUAUUCCUGCAGGAAAUCAUCAGAUUAUUUUUGUUUUAGUUACAUUAUCUGUAGCAAAUUCGGAUGUACUGCUCCUAAAAAGAUUGACCAGAUGUUACACGUGAUGCUCUGGAAUCAAUGCUAUGAUGGACACAGUUGAAUGUGUCAGCCACCAAUAAGCACAGUGUUUCCCUAGGAUAUGGUCAAGGAUCAAAUUCACUGCCCUGUCCUUUUGAAAGAAUUUCUGAGUGUCAUAGGUUUCUAUACAAAAUGGCUUGAACUGAUUUUUAUUGUUACUGUGAACAUUCAUUUCGACAGCCUCAGCUCUUUCACAGCUAUUUGCACGUCACACUUACUAAAUCUGUUGUAUUUGAUGCCAAAACUGCCUUCAAUUCUGGUAAGUUACAGUGUUUUCCCCAAAGCAACCUGGUUUGAACUGUUACUACGGCAUCAUGCCUUUUCCAGGGAAGCAGUAGGAUCAAAUGGCUCAGUCAGAGAUGUUUAAAAAGGAUUACAAUAGGCUUACUCCCCAUUAGUCAGCACACUUACUCCUAUCCAACUACUGGAGUGAGCCCAGAUGAGCUAAACUUGGGACAGGUCAAGCUAAAAACCACUUCUGUCAGUUCUUCCUGUGUUAAAAUUGUGACACAGGUAAAAAUAAGCUGUGGAAUCAUCUUCUGUCAUUUUAUUUCCUUUGUGUUUGCAGAGUAAAUCAAAUCAGAAUUGCAAGAAUCUGUGAAGCUAGACCAAGUUAAGUUGCCCUGCUCAAGCUUUUGGGAGUCUUUACUGGAGGGAGCACUUUCAAAGUGUCAAGCAAUACAUAGAAAGAUCACAGUAGAAUAGGCUUGCAGAGGAUGGGAUCAGCAGAAAGAGAAAAGCAUCGAAGAAGAUAUCUGGAAGAAGGAAGAUGAGAUUGUCAGAGCUUGGGUGACAAGCACGUGUGAACGUGAGACUAAGGUGACAGGAAGAGUAGAAGUUCAGAAACAUCACUCUCAGUGCCAGAGCUGCCAUCAGUCUGAUGAACAAUACCAGGUUGGAUGUGGAUCUCUACUGAGGCUCGAGAGUGCUGCAUGGCAUACUCUGGGGUCCUGGUGAUCAUUCAGGUCUGCUGAUCAUUCAGAGCUGGCUGCAGCAUGCUGGACAUCCAUUCUGUUCCUCUUCUUUCUCUAAGAGUAAAGGUGUUGAGAAGUAGCUGGUAUUCAUCUGGAUUUUAUUGUCAUAUGGACCAAGAUAUUAAAUGUUUUUUUUUUUUUUGAAGCACUGCCAGGACCAAUUAUUUAUAUAUAGCUAGUGAAGAGAUAAAAAUGAGCUACAGAUUGACUUUGAUAAGGUAAAAUUAUUCUCAUGGUAUAGGAUAUAUUCCAGUACCACAAUGCAGGAAAAUAGCCCCAAGCAAUGAGUCCUGGAAACUACAGUUUCAUUCAGUCAGCCCAAUGCUGCCAUCUCCAAACCAGCAACUUAAGGAAGCUGUGUAAGGAAACCACUUUCUCACACUGUCCAAUUUAGUGAGUAGCAUCAGAGGGGUUGGGGAACAAUCUUGUGCUGACUUUACCCUGCCACCAGUGCUACUCAUAGGUCAGGUACUCCUAUUAUAUAUUAUAAAAUCAUAAA